rnacentral:rRNA from 1 species
GAUGAACGCUGGCGGCGUGCUUAACACAUGCAAGUCGAACGGAAAGGCCCAAGCUUGCUUGGGUACUCGAGUGGCGAACGGGUGCGUAACACGUGGGUGAUCUGCCCUGCACUUCGGGAUAAGCCUGGGAAACUGGGUCUAAUACCGGAUAGGACGAUGGCUUGGAUGCCAUUGUGGAAAGUUUUUUCGGUGUGGGAUGAGCUCGCGGCCUAUCAGCUUGUUGGUGGGGUAAUGGCCUACCAAGGCGUCGACGGGUAGCCGGCCUGAGAGGGUGUACGGCCACAUUGGACCUGUGAGGCGGCCCAGACUCCUACGGGGGGCAGCAGUGUCGAAUAUUGGUCAAUGGGCGCAAGCCUGAGGCAGCGACGCCGGGUGGGGGAGGACGUCCUUCAGGUUGGAAACUCCUUUCGCUAGGGACGAAUCGUUUUUGUGACGGUAACUGGAGGAGAAGCACCGGCUAACUACGUG